rnacentral:rRNA from 1 species
GACGAACGCUGGCGGCGUGCUUAACACAUGCAAGUGGAGCGACGAACCAGGGCUUGCCCUGGGGCAGAGCCGCGAACGGGUGAGUAACACGUGGGUAACCUGCCUCGAUGAUCGGGACAACCCGGGGAAACCCGAGCUAAUACCGAAUGUGCCCCAUCCGCAUCAGUGGAUGGUGUAAAGGAAGCUUCGGCCUCCGCAUCGAGAUGGGCCCGCGGCCCAUUAGCUUGUGUGGGGUAAGGCCACCAAGGCUUCGAUGGGUAGGCUGGUCUGAGAGGACGAUCAGCCACACUGGGACUGAGACACGGCCCAGACUCCUACGGGAGGGCAGCAGUGGGGAAUCUUGCGCAAUGCGCGAAAGCGUGACGCAGCAACGCCGCGU